CAUGCAAGUCGUGGGGCAGCGCAGUGUAGCAAUACAUGGGCGGCGACCGGCAAACGGGUGCGGAACACGUACGCAACCUUCCUUUAAGUGGGGGAUAGCCCAGGGAAACUUGGAUUAAUACCCCGUAAUAUUACGGAGUGGCAUCACUUUUUAAUUAUAGCAGCAAUGCGCUUGAAGAUGGGCGUGCGCCUGAUUAGGUAGUUGGCGGGGUAACGGCCCACCAAGCCUUCGAUCAGUAACUGGUGUGAGAGCACGACCAGUCACACGGGCACUGAGACACGGGCCCGACUCCUACGGGAGGCAGCAGUAAGGAAUAUUGGUCAAUGGACGAAAGUCUGAACCAGCCAUGCCGCGUGGAGGAUGAAGGUCCUCUGGAUUGUAAACUUCUUUUAUUUGGGAAGAAACCCACGAUUUCUAUUGUGGUUGACGGUACCAGAUGAAUAAGCACCGGCUAACUCCGUGCCAGCAGCCGCGGUAAUACGGAGGGUGCAAGCGUUAUCCGGAUUCACUGGGUUUAAAGGGUGCGUAGGCGGGCAGGUAAGUCAGUGGUGAAAUCCCCGAGCUUAACUUGGGAACUGCCGUUGAUACUAUCUGUCUUGAAUACUAUGGAGGUAAGCGGAAUAUGUCAUGUAGCGGUGAAAUGCUUAGAUAUGACAUAGAACACCAAUUGCGAAGGCAGCUUGCUACACAGUUAUUGACGCUGAGGCACGAAAGCGUGGGGAUCAAACAGGAUUAGAUACCCUGGUAGUCCACGCCCUAAACGAUGAUUACUCGACAUCAGCGAUACACUGUUGGUGUCUGAGCGAAAGCAUUAAGUAA
rnacentral:rRNA from 1 species